GGUGAACGCUGGCGGCGUGCCUAAUACAUGCAAGUCGAGCGAACAGAUGAGGAGCUUGCUCCUUUGACGUUAGCGGCGGACGGGUGAGUAACACGUGGGUAACCUACCUAUAAGACUGGGAUAACUUCGGGAAACCGGAGCUAAUACCGGAUAAUAUAUUGAACCGCAUGGUUCUAUAGUGAAAGACGGUUUUGCUGUCACUUAUAGAUGGACCCGCGCCGCAUUAGCUAGUUGGUAAGGUAACGGCUUACCAAGGCAACGAUACGUAGCCGACCUGAGAGGGUGAUCGGCCACACUGGAACUGAGACACGGUCCAGACUCCUACGGGAGGCAGCAGUAGGGAAUCUUCCGCAAUGGGCGAAAGCCUGACGGAGCAACGCCGCGUGAGUGAUGAAGGGUUUCGGAUCGUAAAACUCUGUUAUUAGGGAAGAACAAAUGUGUAAGUAACUAUGCACGUCUUGACGGUACCUAAUCAGAAAGCCACGGCUAACUACGUG
rnacentral:rRNA from 1 species